rnacentral:rRNA from 1 species
UUGCCUCAGUAACGGCGAGUGAAGCGGCAACAGCUCAAAUUUUAAAGCUGGCGUCCUCGACGCCCGCGUUGUAAUUUGGAGAGGCAUCUUCGGUUUGGGCGCCAGCCUAUGUUCCUUGGAACAGGACGUCACAGAGGGUGAGAAUCCCGUGCUUGGCUGGCUGUCCCUCUCCAUGUGAAGUGUCUUCGACGAGUCGAGUUGUUUGGGAAUGCAGCUCAAAAUGGGUGGUAAAUUUCAUCUAAAGCUAAAUAUUGGCGGGAGACCGAUAGCGCACAAGUAGAGUGAUCGAAAGAUGAAAAGCACUUUGAAAAUAGAGUUAAAAAGUACGUGAAAUUGUUGAAAGGGAAGCGCUUGAGACCAGACUCGGCCGGAGACGAUCAGCGGUCCUUUUGGGCCGUGCACUCGUCCUCGGUUGGGCCAGCAUCGGUUGAGACGGUGGGAUAAAGGUCUGGGGAAUGUGGCUCCUUUCGGGGAGUGUUAUAGCCCCGGGCGCAAUGCCGCCAGCCUCGACCGAGGACCGCGCUCUUUUGCUAGGAUGCUGGCGUAAUGGUCUUCAGCGACCCGUCUUGAAACACGGACCAAGGAGUCUAACAUCUAUGCGAGUGUUUGGGUGUCAAACCCUUGCGCGUAAUGAAAGUGAACGUGGGUGGGAACCUCUCGUAAGGGGGGCGCACCAUCGACCGAUCCUGAUGUCUUCGGAUGGAUUUGAGUAGGAGCAUAGCUGUUGGGACCCGAAAGAUGGUGAACUAUGCCUGAAUAGGGUGAAGCCAGAGGAAACUCUGGUGGAGGCUCGCAGCGGUUCUGACGUGCAAAUCGAUCGUCAAAUUUGGGUAUAGGGGCGAAAGACUAAUCGAACCAUCUAGUAGCUGGUUCCUG